AUAGUCAAUCUUUUUCUCCCUUUGACUCGGAAACCCUCAUAAUUAGCACUCUGAAUCGGCCUUUCAAUAAUUGAAUCGGUCAUGUACGAGACCCUCUCCCCACAUUGGUCCAUACCUAGGUAAAAAGGAAUCGAGUCUUAGUCAUCACUCCUCAGUCGAUUUCAAAACAUAACUCCAUAUUCAAGGGUAUAGCUUUUGGGUAGAAGUUGUUAUGAUUUCAAGACCUAAACAUCAUAUUCAUAAACUGCUACUCUGCAUUCAAGAUAGAUGGUGGCAACAAUGCAUACCAGUAAUUUUCUUUUUUAAUCAUUCGCCUUAAGCAGCUUUCAAAGCUAGAGAGUAUCUUGAUAAGCCUGUAAUACAUAAGACAAUGAUGAAAGUAUGUAAGUUAUAUCUUAGAUUUCCUAUGUAAAUAGGGCUAACUUUGUGCUGAUGUCAUUAUGUUAGUGUUUUUCUUCUUAGAGAAUAGAACCUUCUUUUGGGCAGACAACCUGUUUGUAGUCUAAAUGACAUUUUUGUCAUUUUACAUGCCCUUCUAAAUCCUGUCUAUAAAUCGAAUGGAAAAAUCAUAUUUUGAAGGUGGAAACAUUAAAGGAAUAGUUGCAGAGGGAAAGAGAGUUGAGGAAACUGCUUGAGGCUGGAUGCACAAUGUCAGAGAAGAUGUUACCUUUACCAGGCUCCAUUGAUGAAAGUAUGUUACAGUCUUUUCUUAAGUCUUUUUUUGAAGUAUUUUUUUCAUUUAAUUGGAUGUAUGGCAUGUUUCGGAAGAUCUAUGUGUAUUUUAUUCAAAACUUGCCAAGUUUGUUGCCAAGUUGAGAGAGAUGAAACAGAUGAGUAAGUAUUGUUGUUUAAAUUUGAGGUGGGAGUAUGCUACUUCUCAAAGUCAGAAAGGUAAUAAUUUUAUAUCA